AGAGUUUGAUCAUGGCUCAGAUUGAACGCUGGCGGCAGGCCUAACACAUGCAAGUCGAGCGGUAGCACAGAGAGCUUGCUCUCGGGUGACGAGCGGCGGACGGGUGAGUAAUGUCUGGGAAACUGCCUGAUGGAGGGGGAUAACUACUGGAAACGGUAGCUAAUACCGCAUAACGUCGCAAGACCAAAGUGGGGGACCUUCGGGCCUCGUGCCAUCAGAUGCGCCCAGAUGGGAUUAGCUAGUAGGUGGGGUAAUGGCUCACCUAGGCGACGAUCCCUAGCUGGUCUGAGAGGAUGACCAGCCACACUGGAACUGAGACACGGUCCAGACUCCUACGGGAGGCAGCAGUGGGGAAUAUUGCACAAUGGGCGCAAGCCUGAUGCAGCCAUGCCGCGUGUAUGAAGAAGGCCUUCGGGUUGUAAAGUACUUUCAGCGAGGAGGGAGGCGUUAAGGUUAAUAACCUUGGCGAUUGACUUUACUCGCAGAAGAAGCACCGGCUAACUCCGUGCCAGCAGCCGCGGUAAUACGGAGGGUGCAAGCGUUAAUCGGAAUUACUGGGCGUAAAGCGCACGCAGGCGGUCUGUUAAGUCAGAUGUGAAAUCCCCGGGCUCAACCUGGGAACUGCAUUUGAAACUGGCAGGCUUGAGUCCUGUAGAGGGGGGUAGAAUUC
rnacentral:rRNA from 1 species